CGGCGGACGGGUGAGUAACACGUGGGUAACCUACCUAUAAGACUGGGACAACUUCGGGAAACCGGAGCUAAUACCGGAUAAGAUAUCGAACCGCAUGGUUCGAUAGUGAAAGAUGGUUUUGCUAUCACUUANAGAUGGACCCGCGCCGUAUUAGCUAGUUGGUGAGGUAACGGCUCACCAAGGCAACGAUACGUAGCCGACCUGAGAGGGUGAUCGGCCACACUGGAACUGAGACACGGUCCAGACUCCUACGGGAGGCAGCAGAC
rnacentral:rRNA from 1 species